rnacentral:tRNA from 1 species
GGAGACGUGGGUGAGAGGCUUAAACCAGGUCCUUGCUAAGGAUCCGAACCUUUACCGGUUCCGAGAGUUCGAUUCUCUCCGUCUCCGCCA